rnacentral:rRNA from 1 species
GGGAGCGACCAUUCUUGGCCGAAUGCACCAUAUCCCGUCCGAUUUGUGAAGUUAAGCGGCCACAGGCCUCGUUAAUACGGCGAUCAGUGAUGGUGCUGGAACCCGGGGGGCCGUACCCU